GAUGAACGCUGACGGCGUGCCUAAUACAUGCAAGUCGAGCGAACAGACGAGGAGCUUGCUCCUCUGACGUUAGCGGCGGACGGGUGAGUAACACGUGGAUAACCUACCUAUAAGACUGGGAUAACUUCGGGAAACCGGAGCUAAUACCGGAUAAUAUAUUGAACCGCAUGGUUCAAUAGUGAAAGACGGUUUUGCUGUCACUUAUAGAUGGAUUCGCGCCGCAUUAGCUAGUUGGUAAGGUAACGGCUUACCAAGGCAACGAUGCGUAGCCGACCUGAGAGGGUGAUCGGCCACACUGGAACUGAGACACGGUCCAGACUCCUACGGGAGGCAGCAGUAGGGAAUCUUCCGCAAUGGGCGAAAGCCUGACGGAGCAACGCCGCGUGAGUGAUGAAGGUCUUCGGAUCGUAAAACUCUGUUAUUAGGGAAGAACAAAUGUGUAAGUAACUAUGCACGUCUUGACGGUACCUAAUCAGAAAGCCACGGCUAACUACGUG
rnacentral:rRNA from 1 species